CGGUUCAUGACUGAUCUAGAGCGCGUGCUUGGUCUUCUACUGCUGCUAGGCAGUCGCCUGACCCGUGUGAACCUCGCCUUGGCUAGGGCGGGCUCAGACAGCGACCCGGAUGAGAGGGCCUCUCUGCUGCAGCGACUCCUGCUUCUGCAGCGACAGCAAGAAGACGCCAAGGAGCUGAAGGAGCACGUGGCUCGGCGGGAGCAAACCCUGCGUCAGGUGUUGGAGCGGGAGCUGCCCGCAGAGCAUCUACGCUCCUAUUGUGUGCUGCUGGCCGCCAAGGCCAGGAUCCUGUCACAGCAGCGCAGCCUGGACGAUCGAAUUCGGUUCCUUAAGGAACAACUGGACACUAUCUGGAGCGACCUCAGCCAUCAUCCCCUUUCUCCCAGACUAUCCUGGGCCCCAGGAAUCCGUCCUCUAGACAAACAACCUUUUCUUGCUACCCUUAUCUAGUUACAGGUGGCGGAGGUGGGAACACUGUCCCAGGCUCACUCACAACUGGAGCCUUGCUUUAUACAGAGAGCUUUCCCUUGAGGGACUAGGGAGGAGUCAGACCAGGCCUUCCCAGGACACACCUUCCCACAGUGUUCUCCUGUGACCUUAUUCGAUUUGUAAUUAUUUAGGAAUUAAUUUGUGGGUUUUAAAAACUGCAGUAUUCAAAGCCUGGCCUGGAGGUGCUGUUGUAAUCCCAACUAUAUGGGAGGCUGAGGUGGGGAGAUUUUGAGGUCAAGGCCUAUCUGGGCUACAAAGGAAACUCAAAGCCAGCCUGGGGGACCUAGGAGACUCUGCCUCAAAAUAAAUCAUAAAAAGAGGACUGCAGAGAUGGGAGGCGGGGGGGGGGGGGGCUGGAGGUGAGAAGCUGGAGAGACGGCCCAGGAGUUAAGACCACUUGCUGUUCUUCCAGAGCAUUUGGGUUCCAUCAUCCAUGCUUUAUGACUCACAGCCCAGGCAGGGGAUCUGACACUGUCUGGUUUGCACAAAGGUGGCACACAUACACGCAAGCAAAACACUCCCAAAUAAACAAAUAAAUAUAAGAAU
rnacentral:lncRNA from 1 species